rnacentral:rRNA from 1 species
UACGUAGGGUGCGAGCGUUGUCCGGAAUUAUUGGGCGUAAAGAGCUUGUAGGCGGUUUGUCGCGUCUGCCGUGAAAAUUCGAGGCUCAACCUCGAACUUGCGGUGGGUACGGGCAGGCUAGAGUUCGGUAGGGGAGACUGGAAUUCCUGGUGUAGCGGUGAAAUGCGCAGAUAUCAGGAGGAACACCUGAGGUGAAGACGGGUUGCUGGGCUGACACUGACGCUGAGGCGCGAAAGCUAGGGUAGCAAACGGG